rnacentral:lncRNA from 1 species
UGUUAAUUGAGGAUUGAAUUACCAAAAGCUUCAGCUGCUUGGUGAUGGCUGCAUUUUAAAUAAUGAAUUAGAUGCCCUCGGCUUCUACAGAGAGAAAUGUGUUAUGUUGGUAGAAGUAAAUGUUCUGAAAACUUACAUUUAGGCAUUCUAGAGACUUGUGAAAUGAGUAUUUCAGGCAACUGUGCCAUAGAUUCUUAUCAUCUACAUCUCUAUGCAAGCGAUUUACGUACUGGGGUCAGGUUAAUACCUUCAGAUUUCAUCUCUGAGGUGAAGAAACAUCAAACGUUACACAGAUCUAAGGAACAAAUUACAUCAAAAUUUAUACAGCCUCCAGUAAAGCUAAGGUGGACUGGACUCAACAAAUCCAGUGCAACCAACCUCCUAUGGAGAUUUUUGUAAACCUGGUGCCAAAGGACUUGGAUAACAACCGAACAGAACUUCUUCACAGCACUUCUCUGCUCCUUCACUGCUUUACCCUUGCCAAGGAUGAAGGAACGAAUAAAAAGCAAAGGAAUAUAUUUAGAGUGAAUGAG